GUGAGGUCACGUGACACACGGGAGACCUCCGACAAGCUGUCAGUUUCCCAGUGACUUUGCAAGUGGAGAAUGGAACCACCAGGCUCCGCAGGACGCUGCGGCCGGAGGCCACACUACUGCCAUUUACCAAGAUGAUAUCACACCAAGGAAAGGAAGUUAGAUCUUUUAAGGGGUCUCUGAUAAGGAGUCUGAGCUGACACUGAUGACGAGGACAAGAAAAGUCACCAUGGCUUUUGAUGAUUCAAUUAGGAGGACUUCUUCCAUACUUUAAAGUAGUUUGAAAUUGUCCAGUGUUACUUUCACAUCAGUAGGGAUAUCGCCUUGUCAAGAUAUGUGCACAUGAAAAGGGGUAUACAGUUUUACUCUACUGAGGAAGCACAAUUUGGCAAAGCACCUGUUCUGAAAAGCUGUUUUGCACAUGGAGGAUUAAGUGGGAAGGCCCGAGAGCCCCCAUUCCUGUCUGCUGUAGACCUUCAACCUGGUGGAUUUCACAGCUAUCUCUAUUGAACAAGGAACCUUUUAUGAAGCUUGAACAAUGAAGAUACUUAGACUAGACUACAAAUCACCAGUGUAUAGAUAACCCUUAGUUAACAAUAUAUUAUUCUUACUUGAGAUUUAUUUUU